GACGAACGCUGGCGGCGUGCUUAACACAUGCAAGUCGAACGGAAAGGCCCUGCUUUUGUGGGGUGCUCGAGUGGCGAACGGGUGAGUAACACGUGAGUAACCUGCCCUUGACUUUGGGAUAACUUCAGGAAACUGGGGCUAAUACCGGAUAGGAGCUCCUGCUGCAUGGUGGGGGUUGGAAAGUUUCGGCGGUUGGGGUUGGACUCGCGGCUUAUGAGCUUGUUGGUGGGGUGGUGGCUUACCAAGGCUUGGACGGGUAGCCGGCUGGGAGGGGGGCCGGCCACAUUGGGACGGAGAUACGGCCCAGACUCCUACGGGAGGCAGCGGUGGGGAGUAUUGCACAGUGGGCGGAAGCCUGAUGCAGCAACGCCGCGUGCGGGAUGACGGCCUUCGGGUUGUAAACCGCUGUCGCCUGUGACGAAGCGUGAGUGACGGUAAUGGGUAAAGAAGCACCGGCUAACUACGUG
rnacentral:rRNA from 1 species